GCAGAUUGAAGCAGACGGUGGAGGGAUUUGUCGUUUGAAAGUUUUGAGAAUGGAACAUCAAUAUGGUGCAUUUAUUGUGCUACUGUUUUGCUUAAUCAUAGAAAUGACUCAAGCAGACUCAGUGACUCAACAUUUCAAAUCCAUAGUCGUUAAAGAAACACACAACAGCACGAUACAGUGCCAGUAUGAGACAGCAAGCUCCCCGACUCUCUUCUGGUAUAUCCAGGAUCCCAGUCAAGCUCCUCAACUCAUCCUCGGCAAAUUUACGCAAAAUGACAACAUUCCAUUGAGGUUUCAAAAUCGUUUCUCGGUAUCUCAUGACAAGAAGAACGAGAACAAGACCUUUCAUCUGAAUAUCAUUGCGGUUGUGCUGUCUGACUCUGCCACGUACUUCUGUGCUCUGAGUCCCACACUGUGAGAGUCUCUAUAUCACUUCAUACAAAAACCUCCUGCUGCCUGCCGAGUGGUGAAGAUGGCAGUGCAGCCUGUGUUCUGUGUAGAAGCUACUCAGUCAUUCUUCUUAAUUACCCCCCUGCACCCUCUUACGGUCUGGUAGUGAAAUACUGAUACAUAUUACAACAUGUAGGGGAGACCGGGGUUGGUCGUCACACGGGUUGGUUGUCUCAGUGCUCAUAACUAUGACACCAGAUGGUGCAGGCAGGUGAUACUAACACUGAAAUGUGUGUUCUAUUGUCUGGAACUUAACCAUAUUGUAAUUUGAGGUUAAUUCAAUCUAACAUAAAGGUUAGCACAUAUUUUAUUUUUUUCAUACCCAAAGUAAAAAAUAUAUAUAUAUCUUGUUAUUUAUGUUAUAACUCUUAGUAGUAUUGGAGUUUGUUUGAACUGAUGGCCAUGUUAAUAGAACCAGAUACUGGCUAUCUUUUGAUGUAAAAACAAAACCAGUAGGUUCUCCCAGAAGUACUGAGAGAAUUAAAUUGUCAUGUAAAGUCUGGUUGGGGCAGGUUGUCUCAUAGUUUUUGGGGUUGGUUGUCACAUGUAAAUCCUAUAGGAAGAAGUCUUAUAUUUUUUCUUUCUACUUUUUUUACACCAACAUGUGGGAUAUGUCACCAUAUGAUGCUUAUUUAAGUUAUUCACUGUUUGUUCUCCGGUUCUGUGGAGGCUGUGGUAUUAUUUUGUAGCAUGGAUCAACAUUUCAAAUAUAUAUGGGUCUAUAUUUUUUAUGUUCACAUAAAAAGUAAAAAUACAACUUUUUCUGUCAUUGUACACAGAAGAAACUUUAUGUUACUUAAAAAAAAAAAAGUUGCAUUAUUUUCUACUGUAAAACCAAGAACAUACUUUCCAUAUCGUGUGACACCCAACC